AUCGCUUCUCCGUCUUUUGGUUAAGAUCAAUUAUAGUAUAUGUUAUUAACAGUUUAAUACAUAUGUUCUCUAUCAGAGAACAGCUUAUUAAAUUGUUACUUGAGCAGGGAGAUAAAAUAGGAGUUUGUUCUGUCCAAUCCACGCAUCGACCUGUUACUACAGUAUUUCCAGAAACGGUGUACCUUUC